CCUGAACCUGGAUGUUGCAAAGAGUCCUGGGAUGGCAGUCCUUUCAUAUGAAGAAAGACUGGAUAGACUCGGCUUGUACACGCUAGAAUUCAGAAGAUUGAGGGGGGAUCUUAUAGAAACUUACAAAAUUCUUAAGGGGCUGGACAGGCUAGAUGC